rnacentral:ncRNA from 1 species
UCUACUACGUUGUCAUGAGGUGCCCAAAUCGGUCUUUGACCGAGGGAGAAUCGGGAACUAGGUGAAACUCCUAGGCGGGCCCGCCACUGUAAACGGAGAGUCUAUGUUCAAUAUGCCACUGAGAAUUCCUCGGGAAGGCGAACAGUGACGUUUGAUCCGCAAGCCAGGAGACCGGCCUCGAUGAUUUCGUAAAC